rnacentral:rRNA from 1 species
GUGGAUUAGAUACCCUGGUAGUCCACACCGUAAACGUUGGGCGCUAGGUGUGGGAUCCAUUCCACGGGUUCCGUGCCGUAGCUAACGCAUUAAGCGCCCCGCCUGGGGAGUACGGCCGCAAGGCUAAAACUCAAAGGAAUUGACGGGGGCCCGCACAAGCGGCGGAGCAUGCGGAUUAAUUCGAUGCAACGCGAAGAACCUUACCUGGGUUUGACAUACACCGGAAAGCUGCAGAGAUGUGGCCCCUUUUUGUCGGUGUACAGGUGGUGCACGGCUGUCGCCAACU